rnacentral:rRNA from 1 species
CUACGGGUCGCUCCAGUAAGGAAUAUUGGGCAAUGGACGCAAGUCUGACCCAGCCAUGCCGCGUGCAGGAUGACAGCCCUACGGGUUGUAAACUGCUUUUAUACGGGAAAAAUUCCCCGGUCGUGAAUCGGGGUUGAUGGUACCGUAAGAAUAAGCAUCGGCUAACUCCGUGCCAGCAGCCGCGGUAAUACGGAGGAUGCAAGCGUUAUCCGGAUUCAUUGGGUUUAAAGGGUGCGUAGGCGGAAUGAUAAGUCAGUGGUGAAAUCCUACAGCUUAACUGUAGAACUGCCAUUGAUACUGUUGUUCUUGAGUACAUUUGAAGUGGGCGGAAUGUGUCAUGUAGCGGUGAAAUGCAUAGAGAUGACACAGAACACCGAUCGCGAAGGCAGCUCACUAAACUGUAACUGACGCUGAGGCACGAAAGCGUGGGGAUCAAACAGGAUUAGAUACCCUCGUAGUC